rnacentral:lncRNA from 1 species
AAUGUAUCUGGAGAUUUGGCCCAGGGGGAAGACUUCUAAGCUAGGAUUCAGAAAAUCAACUCUAGAGUCCUAUACAUCGUUCUUGCUUUGUGACCUUGAACAGGUUGGGGGAUCCUGCUCUUUGGCUUUUAUCGGCCCAGCAUCUAAGCCAAUUUCCCAGCUCUUGCUUCUCCUGGACACGCCCACCUGCCCUUGAAGUGGUGAGAGAGAGGGCAUUAAAGACACCUGCCCCUGAAACUGAGAUUCUGAGAGCUAUGUGCCUUGGAUUUCCUCUGCAGAGUUAGGCCCUGAAAAUGGGAAGGUAGUUAGUUCCUCAUUAAGGAAAGUCGGGUCAGGAACUCAAGGCAGGAACCUGGAGGCAGAAAACUGGAGCAGAGACCAUGGAGGAAUGCAGCUCACUGGCUUGCGCCUCAUGACUUACUCAGCCUGAUUCUCCUGCCUGGGAGGUCAUACCAUCCCUGGGUUUCCACAUCAGUCACUAACCAAUAAAACACCCCACAGCUUUGCCUACAGGCCCAUCUGAUAGGGGCAUUCUCAUG